rnacentral:rRNA from 1 species
AUGCACGCUGGCGGCGUGCCUAACACAUGCAAGUCGAGCGGCAGCGAGGGGUGCUUGCACCCUGUCGGCGAGCGGCGGACGGCUGAGUAACGCGUGGGAACGUGCCCCAAAGUGAGGAAUAACUGCCCGAAAGGGUAGCUAAUACCGCAUAUUAUCUUCGGAUCAAAGGAUUUAUCCGCUUUGGGAGCGGCUCGCGUCGGAUUAGGUAGUUGGUGAGGUAAUGGCUCACCAAGCCGACGAUCCGUAGCUGGUCUGAGAGGAUGACCAGCCAGACUGGAACUGAGACACGGUCCAGACUCCUACGGGAGGCAGCAGUGAGGAAUCUUCCACAAUGGGCGAAAGCCUGAUGGAGCAACGCCGCGUGCAGGACGAAGGCCUUCGGGUUGUAAACUGCUUUUAUAAGUGAGGAAUAUGACGGUAACUUAUGAAUAAGAAUCGGCUAACUACGUG